GUCAUUGUAAGAUGAUGUGAUAUUGUAUCAAUCAUAGGUUUCAGAGUCUGACACAAGGGGAUUCAGGGAUAAACUCAACAUUUUAUGGGAGGGAAACCACCCAUCCUUGCUUGGAUAUUCAGAUACAGUCUUCAAAACAUCACAUCUACCCUAAUCUCAUAUAUGGGAAAUAAUGUACUAACUGGGGGAAGUCUAUAGAGAAAUCUGUAGAAUACCAGUAGAGUUCCAGUAUGUAUCACAACCUUAGAGACAAGAGAACAGAUAAGGUGAGGUCCUUGUGUCUUCCAAUAAAAGGGACUGACCCUGUCUGCAAAAACAAUAGUAAAUAUUCCCAAAGGGAACCAAAGUAUUGGAAUGACACUCCUGUAUAGAGUUGUAAACUAAUUAGAUCAAGUCCCCCAUGUGCCGAAUUAAAGUGUGAUAAAGGAAGAUAACACUACAUAAUACUAUGCCACAGCUAAUCCAAUUGCUUAAUUAUGAAAAAUACCUUUAUUAUUGCUAGGAUUGCGUGGUAUAUCUACUAAUUGUUAAAAAGUAAUAACAGGGAAAGUGGGGAAAUAAUUUAAACAGUACAAGAGGAGGGGGAUCAUACUAAUCCUCCGAGCCACUUAUGUAAAGAUUAAGGGUAAGUCCUCCCUAAAAAAAUCUCAUAGUGACCUCAACUCAAAUCAUAGUAGGGUCUAUAGUAUAUAUAUCUGCUGGAUAGGGGAUUAGAAUAACCCUUAUAAGCAGGCUUGAAAGUGGCUGACUUCUAGGACGUCCAAUCAAAGUCUCCACUAGGAGUUAUUGUAUAGAGCAGUGAUGGCGAACCUAUGGCACACGUGCCACAGGUGGCAGGCCAGGCCCUUUCUGUGGGCACGUGGCCAUAGGUUCGCCAUCAAUGCAGAGUAGGCACCUGCCUGCCCAAAACGGCAGGCGCCUACUCUGCUUCUGUGUCAGGAGGCAGGGGAAGGGAUCUGUGAAGCAGCUUCCC